UCCAAAGUCUUUCAUUUUCUUUUAUUUCUCUCCAAAACUCAAUUUGCAAAUAGAGCAUAAGAGAUUAGUCUCAUAUAGUAUUCGCAAUUAAGGCCGCCCUGCCCAUGUCCACACAAUGCCCACCAAAAUUAGGACAUGUUCAUUUUUAAAUAGGACAUGAAAUAUCAUUCUCUGCCCGCCCUAAACAUGGGGACGGUGGGCUAGUGGACUGGCAUAAAUUAAAAAAAAACUAAAAGUGGUCUAGUACAUGGAACAUUGCAAUAUAUUAUAUAUUAUCUCUUAUUUUUUAUUUCACUGCUGAAACAUUGCAAUAUUCAUGUUAUCAUACUUAAGAUAACAUAGAUGCACAAUAUGACAGUAUAAUUCACAACACAAAACAUAACACAUUUUUUGCAUAAAACGGACAUGCAGUUAAUUAGUAAGAUAUUAUAUUUUGGAAAAUUGCUACAUUGUACUCGAAUAGUGAAAGCAUAAAUUACUGUGUCAUACUUGGCUCAUCAAAUUUCUUAUUGUAGUAUUCAUUGAUGCAUGUGGGCCGCUGUCUACCCGUUUGAAAUUCCCGUAGACGAAAAGGGCAUGUUUAAUGGGUAAUUUAGGACGGAUGGACACAUUUGUUAUCAUCUGCCCGCCCAAAAUGUGCGGUGGGCAUAUGGGCAUGGCCCAAAUUGUCAUUGAUAGUCUCACAAGUGAAAGGGUCACCACAAAGCACAAGUGGCUAAGGGGAAGACCAAUAGAUCAAGAAAUGCUAAUUGUAGAACUUGGUGCUACAGAAAUAGGGACCUUUAUUAUCAGUUUUAGGCAAUGAAGGUCCACCACGAGCACCGAUGAAAAAUAAGCAAUGCACUCAGAAAUGUUCAUUAUUGUCAAUAAAGAACAGUGAUUUAAAAUGCAGUCCGAAAAAGAUAUUGCAACCACAAUAUUGUAGUUGUAGCCAGCUCUGCAACAACAACAUACUAAAAUUAUGGUGUGAUUGAGAUUCACCCUAAAAAGGAAACACAAUGGUGAUGUGGUCGCAACAAAAUGGUGAUGUGGCCACAACAAAACCACAAUGCACCAGUAAGGACAAAAUCACAUGCCCAAUACUCCACUUUCACUCUGAGACCUCAAUAGUUCCCUUCCAUCUCUCUAUUUUUAUAACGUAGCUGACUUGAGCUUGCUUAUUGUCAAUUGCAAAAAAGUUGGCUUUUUACUCCAUGAUUUCCUCUCUAGAGAAAAUGAAAAAAGAAGAACUGAGUUGACCCAUAUAGAAAAAGAAAGUUGAGAUAUGAAUGCUUUAGAGGAAAGGAUGUGGAAAAAAUGGGGAUGUGGGAAGAUGAGAUAUGGAAAAAUGGGGACUGGAAAAGAUGGGAUAUGUGGACAAAAUGUGGCUAAAUGAAAGGAUGGAAAUGUGGCUUCAUUUCAGCUUUGCCAUUAAAAAUAAAAUGUAGUCCAUACACCAAAGUAAAUGAGAC
rnacentral:lncRNA from 1 species